ACAGAGGGUUUAGUAAUCCAGGACACAAGUGGGAUGUUCUAGUGAGAGAAAAACUGUGCACAUCAUUGACAGCCUACAGUGUGGAUGAGCAAAAGCAAUUUAGGAUGUAAUUUAUUAAUAAUCUUGGAUCUUGUUUAAGGAUUAUCAAAAUCUAUGAUGGCUAAAUGCAAGAACAUUAGUAAUGAGAAUUUCUCCAUUGAAAACAAAUCCAUGGAGUGGAUUCUAGAAAAAAACAUGCAUUUCAUUUUCAUGGAGAUUGGAGUCCCAGCUGUGAGUGCCUUUGGAUUGGUCGGCAAUGUGCUUAGUUUACUUGUGCUAACUAAGGAGAAAGUAAACCACUGUUUGACUAGGAUGGAAAAAUCUGCUCAUAUAGGAUUAAUUGCCUUAGCUGUCUCUGACUUCAUGUUCUGUCUGUUAGCCUUGCUGUUCACAAUUCUUCCACCACAGGAAACAUAUCUCGAGCCAAACGGAGUAAUGUACUACAGGUGGCUUGGCAGUGGUUUUAUCACAUUUUUCAUCAUUAACAGUACGUGGCUAAUUGUUGUCAUGGCAGGAGAGAGAUAUAUAGCUGUCUGUCACCCUUUCAAAGCUAGAAAACUCAUAUCACUGAAAAAAACAAAAAUUGCCAUCUGUCUGGUCUAUGGGAUCUGCAUGAUUUCAACAAUACCUUUAUUUUUUGAGCAAGAAAUUGUGGAAAUAAUCUGUGUUGAUGGCUCAAAGCAGUACACAAUUGAAAAACGGAAAAACUACAGUGAUCACACUCGUAGGAUGUUAUGGUCCAUUAUAUUUGACUUCAUUCCAAGCAUAGCUUUGUUGUACUUUAACAUUUGUCUGGUAUGGAAAAUU
rnacentral:sRNA from 1 species